UACGGGGGGAGCAAGCGUUGUUCGGAUUUACUGGGCGUAAAGGGCGCGUAGGCGGCCUUCUAAGUCGGACGUGAAAGCCCCAGGCUUAACCUGGGAACUGCGUCCGAUACUGGGAGGCUUGGAUUCGGGAGAGGGAUGUGGAAUUCCAGGUGUAGCGGUGAAAUGCGUAGAUAUCUGGAGGAACACCGGUGGCGAAGGCGGCAUCCUGGACCGAGAUCGACGCUGAGGCGCGAAAGCUAGGGGAGCAAACGGG
rnacentral:rRNA from 1 species